rnacentral:rRNA from 1 species
GGAUCCAGACUUUGAUUAUGGCUCAUGAUGAACGCUAGCUACAGGCUUAACACAUGCAAGUCGAGGGGCAGCGGGAUUGAAGCUUGCUUCAAUUGCCGGCGACCGGCGCACGGGUGAGUAACGCGUAUCCAACCUUCCGUACACUCAGGGAUAGCCUUUCGAAAGAAAGAUUAAUACCUGAUGGUAUGAUGAGAUUGCAUGAUAGCAUCAUUAAAGAUUUAUCGGUGUACGAUGGGGAUGCGUUCCAUUAGGUAGUAGGCGGGGUAACGGCCCACCUAGCCAACGAUGGAUAGGGGUUCUGAGAGGAAGGUCCCCCACAUUGGAACUGAGACACGGUCCAAACUCCUACGGGAGGCAGCAGUGAGGAAUAUUGGUCAAUGGACGAGAGUCUGAACCAGCCAAGUAGCGUGAAGGAUGAAGGUCCUACGGAUUGUAAACUUCUUUUAUAAGGGAAUAAACCCUCCCACGUGUGGGAGCUUGUAUGUACCUUAUGAAUAAGCAUCGGCUAACUCCGUGCCAGCAGCCGCGGUAAUACGGAGGAUGCGAGCGUUAUCCGGAUUUAUUGGGUUUAAAGGGAGCGCAGACGGGUCGUUAAGUCAGCUGUGAAAGUUUGGGGCUCAACCUUAAAAUUGCAGUUGAUACUGGCGUCCUUGAGUGCGGUUGAGGUGUGCGGAAUUCGUGGUGUAGCGGUGAAAUGCUUAGAUAUCACGAAGAACUCCGAUUGCGAAGGCAGCACACUAAUCCGUAACUGACGUUCAUGCUCGAAAGUGUGGGUAUCAAACAGGAUUAGAUACCCUGGUAGUCCACACGGUAAACGAUGGAUACUCGCUGUUGGCGAUAUACUGUCAGCGGCUUAGCGAAAGCGUUAAGUAUCCCACCUGGGGAGUACGCCGGCAACGGUGCAACUCAAAU